rnacentral:rRNA from 1 species
AGAGUUUGAUCAUGGCUCAGAUUGAACGCUGGCGGCAGGCUUAACACAUGCAAGUCGAGCGGUAACAGGGGGAGCUUGCUUCCCGCUGACGAGCGGCGGACGGGUGAGUAAUGCUUAGGAAUCUGCCCAGUAGUGGGGGAUAGCCCGGGGAAACCCGGAUUAAUACCGCAUACGUCCUACGGGAGAAAGCAGGGGAUCUUCGGACCUUGCGCUAUUGGAUGAGCCUAAGUCGGAUUAGCUAGUUGGUGGGGUAAAGGCCUACCAAGGCGACGAUCCGUAGCUGGUCUGAGAGGAUGAUCAGCCACAUCGGGACUGAGACACGGCCCGAACUCCUACGGGAGGCAGCAGUGGGGAAUAUUGGACAAUGGGGGCAACCCUGAUCCAGCCAUGCCGCGUGUGUGAAGAAGGCUUUCGGGUUGUAAAGCACUUUCAGUAGGGAGGAAAACCUUAUGGCUAAUACCCAUGAGGCUUGACGUUACCUACAGAAGAAGCACCGGCUAACUCCGUGCCAGCAGCCGCGGUAAUACGGAGGGUGCAAGCGUUAAUCGGAAUUACUGGGCGUAAAGCGCGCGUAGGUGGUUUGGUAAGCGAGAUGUGAAAGCCCCGGGCUUAACCUGGGAACGGCAUUUCGAACUGUCAGACUAGAGUGUGGUAGAGGGUAGUGGAAUUUCCUGUGUAGCGGUGAAAUGCGUAGAUAUAGGAAGGAACACCAGUGGCGAAGGCGGCUACCUGGACCAACACUGACACUGAGGUG